ACGCCUUUUAUUCGAUAUGUAUUGCCCUUCUAAGGCGUGGGUCAAAGGUUCGAAUCCUUUAGGGCGUGCCA
rnacentral:tRNA from 9 species